rnacentral:rRNA from 1 species
CACCCCCCGCGGUUAUACGAGAGGCCCAAGCUGACAGACACCGGCGUAAAGAGUGGUUAGGAGAAACACAAUAAAUUAGGGCCGAACGCUUUCAAGGCUGUUAUACGCACCCGAAAGUAAGAAGUACAACAACGAAAGUGGCCCUAUAAACCCUGAACCCACGAAAGCUAAGGCA